AUACACACUGCUCACUUCGCUCUCACGCUCAUCUCUCUCUUCCGUCUCUGGAAGUCCCCAUUUUGUCGUCUUCACCAACAGGAAGUCCAAACUCCAAAGUAUUCUUUCGUGCUCAUCGCUGAUCCCCUCAUUGUUAUUCAUUCUUACUAUUACACCCACCAAUUCAUUCUUACUAUUACUCCCCCAAUAAUUCUUCCUCAGCAAAUACUAGUGCAACUGUGCAAGUUAACUUCAUACAACCAUUUCCUGUUUCUUGGAAAAGUAAUCUGUAGUUCUUGGGAUUUCAAUCAGAAAAGGAAAAUACAAAGAAAGAAAUAUGCAGACAGGAUUCUCGAUAAAGGGCCACUUUAAACUUGCUAGCUCAUCACCAUCACCACCACCGGCACCACCUUUUGCUCUGCUCUCUUAUCAUCAGCAUCAUCAUCAUCAAGGUUCCUGCAGGAUUAAGAUUAUUUGCUGUGACAAAACUUCUUCGUCAUCUUCAUCUGCUGACCAAAAGUUUAAUUUCAAGAUUCUGGGUCGAUCUCUGCUGGAUAAUAGUAGACGGAAGCUCACUGAGAUCGAUGCGAAUGCAGUACAAGAAUCACUAAACCAUUGGAUCUCAAGGACCCAAAACUUUUUGAAUGAAGUCACGACUCCACUGGUAAAAACUGUAAACGAUAGGAAACCUGUUGUUCAGGAUGAUGCUGGAGAUUUGGGGGACAUUUUCUUGGCUGAACAGACAAUUAACAGCAAAACACCCAGUGGAGAUCUGUCCCUACCUGCCAUUGUUUCUAUUGAGCAAUUUAGCAGGAUGAAUGGAUUGACUGGGAAAAAAAUGCAGAAGAUAUUUAGAGCCCUUGUUCCUGGACCGAUAUACAACAAUGCUCGUAAUUUAGUCGAAUACUGUUGCUUCAGGUUUUUGUCCAGAGAUAGUUCAGAUAUUCAUCCUUCCCUGAAGGAUUGUGCAUUUCGGAAACUUAUUUUUGUAACCAUGGUUGCAUGGGAGCAUCCAUACAGCAGCGGAAAGGAUUCCCAGGCUGAGGCCUCAGACAGAGACUCUUUCAAGAGGAAGCUUGUAGGAGAAGCUGCUUUUGUUCGUAUAGCUCCAGCUAUUUCUGGUGUAGCUGACUGGUCCACUGCACAUUACCUUUUCAAAGCUCUUGCUCGUGAUGAACAAGGGAUCUCAUAUGGCUCGUGGUCUACAUACAUUGACCAACUUCUGAAGAUUCAUGAAGGACGAAAAUCAUAUGAGUCCCAAGGGUCCCCCAAGCCUUUUGGAGAGAAAAUUUUGUGCCUCAGUUCAAGCAGAAAGCCGCCAGUGUUGAAAUGGGAGAACAACAUAGUAUGGCCAGGAAAACUAACUUUGACUGAUGGGGCAUUGUACUUUGAGAGAAUUGGCUUAAAAGGCCAAAGCGAUGCAGUGAGAUUGGAUCUUACAAGAGAUGGUUCACAAGUAAAGAGAACAAGGGUUGGGCCCCUGGGAACCGAUCUUUUUGACUCUGCUAUAUCUGUUACCUCCGGGCUGGAGUCUGAAACAUGGGUCCUGGAAUUUGUUGACCUGGGAGGUGAAAUGAGACGAGAUGUAUGGUAUGCAUUUAUUAAUGAAGUGAAUGCUUUACACAAAUUUAUACAAGAAUUUGGACCCAAGGAUGGUGACCAAUCUGUGUACUAUGUACACGGUGCUCACAAAGGGAAGGCAAAGGCAAUUACUUGCGCUACCAAUGCUAUUGCUAGACUCCAGGCUCUUCAACAAAUGCGAAGACUCUUGGAUGAACCUACUAAACUUGUCCCUUUCUCUUUUUUGCAACAUGCUCCUUAUGGUGAUGUGGUUUUCCAAACUCUAGCUGUUAAUUUCUGGGCUGGACCGUUGAUUUCAAAAAUUACAGAUGGAGACAAACAACCAGGCCAACAUCUAAUAUCCACUCAGGAUGCAUCUGAAAGUAGUAAUCAUGUGUUUGACAUAGAUGGAAGUGUGUACUUGCGGAAGUGGAUGACAUCUCCAUCUUGGUUUUCUAAUGCUGCAGUUGCCUUCUGGAAGCACUUCUCCAUGAGAAAUGGAGUAGUACUGAGUAAAAAUCAUGUCAUUGCUGGGGUGUCAUUGGUGGAAAAGGCAGCAAUAGUAUGCAGAGAUAAGUAUAUAAUAGCUGAAAAAACACAAGCAACAAUAAAUGCUGCAAUGAUUGAAGGAAUACCGAGUAAUAUUGAUCUUUUUAAGGAACUCAUACUUCCUUUAACUAUUAUGGCCAAUAAUUUUGAACGACUUAGACGCUGGGAGGAGCCCUUGGUGACUACAUCAUUUCUUGUGUUUGUGUAUACUAUCAUCUUCAGAAACAUGCUCCCUUAUCUGUUCCCGAUGACAUUGAUGCUGUUGGCUGCCAGCAUGUUAUUGUUGAAGGGGCUUAAGGAACAAGGUCGCUUGGGAAGAUAUUUUGGAAAAGUUACCAUACGUGAUCAGCCACCAUCAAAUACAAUUCAAAAAAUUAUUGCUUUGAAACAGGCCAUGCGUGAAGUGGAGAAGUUUAUGCAGGAUCUUAACAUUUCCCUGCUCAAAAUCCGAACAAUUAUUCUUGCUGGCCAGCCUCAGGUAACAACAGAGGUUGCUCUGCUGCUAUUACUAAGUGCUACAAUUCUCCUCCUUGUUCCAUUCAAGUACAUUCUGGCAUUUCUUAUAUUUGAUCUCUUUACAAGGGAGCUCAAUUUCCGGAGGCAGAUGGUUUUAGCGUUUAGGAGAUUUCUGAAGGAGCGUUGGGGCACUGUACCAGCAGCCCCUGUUGUUGUACUGCCAUACGAGGUUGAUGGGUCCAAGGCAUUGAGUGUAAACAGGAGCAUGGCAAAUUCAGUAAGCAUUCAGGGUAAGAGAGAGUCUUGAUCAAUUUUGGCAGAUGAUUGAAUUAACAAAUAAGAUAGAAUCAGUUUAGAUACAGUCAAAACUAGUUCCCCAAAGCAUUGGUGAAAUUUGGGAAACAGGAAGGACCUGUUUAUUCUUAACCCCUUCAGAAGCACAAAACAAAUUGCCUUAGAGGGUGCAAAACUACAAUUUUGUAGCAGUGCUUUAUAACGGUGACAGAGUGUAAAUGGUGGAAUCCUAUGCCCUAUUUGAUGCGAACCUUACGCAUGGUUGCCUUGCAUGCUAGUGAUCAAGCAGAAUGAGCAACCAUCAGGCCUAAGGUGAGGGGAGUUGAGAAUGCUCCUCUGCAACAGUACUCGUCUGUGUUGAACACAUUACAAGCACUGUUGCAGGCGAUAGAUUUCCCACUGGAAUUGACUGCAAGCUCCGGUGGACAAUGGGGCCUGAGGUCACUGUCGCAACCUGCGGUGCUGCAAUUUCCUUUUCCGGAUAUUGGUUUUACCGUGAUUGGCAAGUUGAAGCCAUCGACAAGGCUAACAUCAUAAUAAUCAAGGUUACCGAAGGCAAAUUGGGCAAUUGAAGCAGGCGGUUGCCCCGGAGUUUUGCAUUUUAGGGUGCUUCCGCAGUCACCAGUUUCGCAUUUACCACUGCCAUCUUUGUCAAAGUCGCACCCGGUUCUUCCCCAUAUUCUGCCAUUCCAUCCAGGUGGAGCUGAAAAUACAACGGAUUGGUCAGGCUUCAAUUGAAAACCACCUCCGCUGAUGUUGGUAUCUGGUGCUGAAUUGUCGUUUGGUGUUAUACCGGGCCAUAUGGUUUCGUUGCAGCCGUUUAUAAUGGUCAAGUUCGUGGACUCGGCAAGUAUUAUCCCUGUUAUUCAAGAAAACAUACAUCUUUCAUGUCAUAAAAUCUGACAAAUUUAAACCGAGAAGUGAAGCAUUCUGCAACUAAAAA